UCUGGUCGGUGUCUCUCGGUCCAACCAUAUACAUCCGUGACUUUCCCACCAAACCGUUGUGGCCCAUUUAAAAGCCCAUUAACCAAACCCUACGAUCGCACACAGCCGCCGCCGUUUUUUCGCCAUCCACCUUCGUCUUUCUCGCACUGCGCAACCGCAUCUAGGCGAUCUGCGCCCGCACGACGGUGUUCCGCGCCGCCGCAGGCUCCUACUACGAUGAGUUCAUCUGCCUCCGCCGACCCCUCCUCCCGCCUCCACUAUGGCAGCACGUCCCUCAAAGCCGACAAUAUGAUGGCGAGCUCACCUGGGCGCUCGCGAACCGCUUCUAGGGCAUCGGUUCCUUCUUUGCUCCGGCGACGCUUGGAGGCAGAGGUGUUCUGUGUCGGCCAGAUCUGGGCGAGAUCGGGGCGAGAUGGCCCUGCACAUGAUUUAGCGACGGUCGUGGACGACACGCCCGCGUGUGCCUCGCUUGCUUUGCUGUAACAGGGGCAAUGGGUUCUCGCCCAAUCGGCUUCGCGUGAUGCUGCUAGGGGUGGACAAGCGUCGCAAGGGGCAGGACGGUGCCGCCAUGGAGGAAGAGGACAGCGGUGGCGGCGACUACGACACUGUGCUGAAGGCCCACGCUAGAUCCGGUGGCGGCGACUACGGCGCCGUGCUGAAGGCCCGCGCUAGAUCCGGUGCCAGCGACGGGGUGCUGCAUGACUGUCUUCUCAUGUAUGAGGUGGUGGAGGCGCCAUGUGCAAACAAAUACAAGAAUGUUGAUGUGGUGAGCACCAUCUCAGAGUUCUCAUCCUCGCUGGAGACAGCGAGUGGGCACUGGCGGGUGGACUGUCUUCUCCGUGCUGAACGAAUGCCAUUUUAUUUCGCCGUGCUGGACCAGGGUGCUCGAAGUGUUUCUUCAGAUAUGGACCUCGGUGGUUUUCUCCACAUUAGAAAAGCUGGAAGAGCCUUUUGAACUCAGUUUUUUUGCUACGAGUGGUGUUAUGGUGAAAGAGAGUUUUGUGUGUAUGUACCAACAACUAAAAUGUAAACACGACAUUAUCAUAGUUGAGUACAUGAAUAAUUAUCUCUUAUAUCCUAUUGUAAAAUCUGAAACAGUUCUCAUGUAGAUGGUUAGCUUGCAUUUUACAAUUACCUCAGAUCACUUCUUAAUGUAUCUUACACCAAUUUAUGAAAUUUCUUAAUGCGUUUUAUGACAA